rnacentral:rRNA from 1 species
UAUUAUAUUAAGUGUUAAUUUAUCUUACCCGGGUACUGUUAGUUAAGAUCUUUAAACCCAAAGAAUUUGGCGGUAUCUCAUUCCAUUCAGAGGAACCUACCCCGUGAUUGAUAGUACACGAUUAACUUUACUUAAUUUAUUUGUUUGUAUAUCUCCGUUAUCAGAAAAUCUUUUUAGAGUUAUAAUUUUCUUGAUUCAGAAUUAUGAAAUAUUUCAGGUCAAGGUGCAGCUUAUAAUUAAGAGGAGGUGGGUUACAAUAGAUUAUUGUCUAUUACGGAAUUGAUGAUGAAAUAUUAUUAAUGAAGGUGGAUUUGAUUGUAAUUUAAUUUAUUAAAUUUAAUUGAUAUUGGCUCUGAGGUGUGUACACAUCGCCCGUCGCUCUCAUUAUUGAAUUAUUUGCUUUAAUGUUAAUAUUG